CGCGCAGGCGGUAUCAUAAGUCAGAUGUGAAAGUUCGGGGCUUAACCCCGGAAUUGCAUUUGAAACUGUAAUACUUGAGUACUGGAGAGGUAAGUGGAAUUCCUAGUGUAGCGGUGAAAUGCGUAGAUAUUAGGAGGAACACCAGUGGCGAAGGCGGCUUACUGGACAGAUACUGACGCUGAGGAACGAAAGCGUGGGGAGCAAACAGGAUUAGAUACCCGCGUA
rnacentral:rRNA from 1 species